CCAGCCCGAGCAGGGGCACGGGGAGCGGGUUAUUAAUGCAGAGUAAGCAGUCUGGCUUUGCUGCACAAGCAUCGCCGCCACCACUGAGCAGCUGGACCUGUGCCAGCAGCCCAGAAUUAGCUCAUUGUUCAGUCCACUCCAACUACGGACAGUGGGGUAGACACCAAGACAGCUUGUGGGUGUGUGUGUGUGUGGAGGGGGCAGAAGGCUGUCCACAGAGCUUUGGCUGCGCUUCAUUUUUUUGUGGAGUGCAGUAGUUUUUUUUUUGCAAAACACACUGGUUAUUUUUAAAAAAAAAAAAAUUUGCUCCCCAUUUUGGGAGCCGGUUGCAAAAUCUGUAUGUAGGUGGAAGGUGGAGCGGAGCAGAGGGCUUUGUCUUUUGUUCCCCUUUAGGAACUGAGAUGACCUGCCUGUAGUCCCACCUCUGCUUGAGAACCAUGCAUAUAAGGGCCUGGCAAAGCUUUGACACGGUGUCAUCUCGUGUCAUUUAAGGACUGCUGAAGACCAGCUGCAAUGAUGGAAGUGUUCCUUUGGGAAUACUUUAGAUCGACCACCCGAAAAAAAGCUGGCUUCAAGAAGGGGAACAACAAGAUGCAAGUCCGGGGCCUGACUCCAGCUGAUGCAGGUUCACAUCUUGCUGCAAGAAGAUGGAUUCCCUCUGUCUUCUAUCAUUACACUUCCAUAUGUAUUAACUUGGUGUUUGGGUGUUGAUGAGGUGGCACAGUUUCAGAGUUUGUUUGUGUAGUCGUUUUUGUUUUUUUUAGUUUUAGAUAAAAGAACUUGAGGGGACUCUGAACUUUGCGGAUUAUACCAUGGGAAAACGUCACCAGAAAACUACAGUUUACAUCUUGACAGGAAUCACAAAAACUUACACUGUGAACACACAAUGUUUACAACCACCACAGGUGGGCCUUCAGGCCUAAUAAUACCAUAGCAAAGUGUUGUCUUCCACUAGUCCAUUGCAAGUAUACAACCAAAGAAUUGCUUCUUUUACAGGGCACUGUCUUGUUUUAAAUGGUAGGAUAAUGCAAAGGCUGAGAGUCCCUUUCAUUUUAUUUUUAAUAUAAUAAGCUUUCUAGUUCAUAACUUUGUAUGUUGGAAACCUCCAAAUGACCUGUGUAACCCCAUAUUUUAAGUCAUGUAAAUUUUAUGUAUAGAACUACUGUAAUGCAUUGUUUCCUUGUGGUAAGUGAUUGAGAUUGCCACGGGAUAUGAGACACUGAUGAAUGGUGCUAUUUUGGAUUUUAAAUAUGCUCCUUGGCAAGGUAGCUCUGAUGGAUUUUUAUGUUUUAAUUUCCCUGUUCUGUGAGAGGGGGGUUAAUGCUUUCCUGAUUGCUAUUUUUUUUGGACUGAAGUGACGUUGUUUCUGAGUCUUUGGUGGCUUUCCUAUUGGAGCUAGUAAGAUAGGAGCAGUACUUGCUGACUGAAGAGUUGACUUGCAGCAAUUAAACACGUGACAAUAUCCGAUAGAGACAAAAAAAGGGACUAGUGCAACAUUGCAACCUUACCUUUUAACAAUUACUUUUCCCCCUUUUUAAAUACAGUACUUUCAUAAUUUUAAUAAUGUCUAAAAAAAAUUCAGGAGCAGGUUGAGAAAGGUGUUUUGUUAUGGUGAAUGAUGUUCUUCAUGGGCAAAAUGCACCAUAAAAAUAAAAAAAAGUAAUUUGCAUGUACCAGUAAAGUCAAGGCAUUGCCCACAUUGGUACCAUUAAAUUGCCUAAUUUGAAAAAUAGAUUAUUAGAAGCCAGAUGAUAAUGAGCAAAAACUACAGCCGUACCCACAAUGUGAAGCGGUACAAAAACAUUUGAAAGCAGUUUUUAAAAAAACUAUUUGGAAGUACUUUCUCUGACAGAAGAUAGAUGGCAAAAAAGUUGCCAAAAAUGUGAAGUCAUAAACCUAGUGGUAUCUCUUCUUGCUGGACGGGAGGAUCUGUUCCUACUCGAGUUGGGUGAACUGGAGCUAACGUUUAUCAAGUGAAAUUUGAAUUGGCUCCAAAAUGCCAAACAGAUGAAUGCUGAAUUCACACCGAGUCAAUAAAGUGGAACUUACAGUGCCAAAGGCCUGUGCCAAUCUCUGAGAGCUCCAUAUCGCUCUCCCUUUCUCUCUCAGACAGUUCAGCAAGUAGUUACAGCUGUUGUGAAUGAUCACAUCAAUAAAUAAAUAAAUAGCUGAUACCAUCAAAUUCUUAGCACCAAUUAUGACAGUGCAAGGUUUGGCCACUUACAUGAAAAUAUUUGGGAGCCGAGGAGCAAAUGCAACUGGCUUGUACAUCAUUGUGCAGUCAAAUCAGGUACAAAUCAGUGCCUGCAUUGCCCCAAGUUUGAUUCUGUUUGCUCAAAUAAAGCGGCUUUUUUUUUUGCUAAAGGACAAAAACUUCAAAAUUCUUAGCACAAACUGAAAGGAAAAAGUGGGGAGAAAAAGGAUGUUUGCUAUUUUGUGUUUGCUCCCUUUAAACAAGAACCAUAUAGUAACACCAGUUAUGGUAUGCUGCUGUGUCCAAUAUGGCCUGAAAGCCCACCUUAAUAAACAUUUUAAUGUCUUCUUAGCUCUUCCUUCAAAUGCAGGCCUCCUGCUUGUUCUGAACUAUUCCAGCUUCUGACUGUUAAAGCUGAUGCAUGUAUUCUUCAUUAUUUACUGUGUUUAAAUCUUAUGUUAGAUUAGGAUGCCAAUUGUGUAGCUAGCGAAGUACAAUAGUACUUUAGUGGCAAUUUUGUAGAUGUAAAAAGAAUAUGCUUUAAGACAAAAUGAUGUGCUUUAUUGAAAAUGUGAUCUUCAACUGUUUUACUGUUGUACUACAUAUACCCAGUGUAACACUACUUUGUGCUUAUUUUAGUAGAAUUACCUUAAUAAAUAUUCAAAGUACAAAUUGA